CGAAGAUGUCAGUAAGAUUUCAAAUAUAAAAUUCCCCUCUUUUGUUCUAAAAGAAUGCCUAAUUAAGUUGUAUAAUGAGAUUAACGAGUCCAUUGUACAAUUAUUUACUUCAUUUACGGGAGGAUCAGGGGCGUAAGGGCGAAAAAUCGAAGCCAUCAACAGCUACGAAUAAAAAACAACACUGAAUGACCGAUGUCACUCUUUCUCUAGUAAAUAUGCGACGUGUAAUAAAAGCAAAGGGGGUGAGAGUAAUGGAACUGAACAGGGUUUCCGCGCAAAUUCAAGCGAGCAUUAGAGGAGAUCACAACACCUACCUUUGAGUAAUCUGCGAAGAGAUUGAA
rnacentral:misc_RNA from 1 species